GAUGAAUGCUGGCGGCGUGCCUAACACAUGCAAGUCGAGCGGCAGCGCGAGUAGUUUACUACUUGGCGGCGAGCGGCGGACGGCUGAGUAACGCGUGGGAACGUGCCCCAAAGUGAGGAAUAACUGCCCGAAAGGGUAGCUAAUACCGCAUAUGGUCUUCGGAUUAAAGGAUUUAUCCGCUUUGGGAGCGGCCCGCGUCGGAUUAGGUUGUUGGUGAGGUAAUGGCUCACCAAGCCGACGAUCCGUAGCUGGUCUGAGAGGAUGAUCAGCCAGACUGGGACUGAGACACGGCCCAGACUCCUACGGGAGGCAGCAGUGAGGAAUCUUCCACAAUGGGGGGCAACCCUGAUGGAGCAACGCCGCGUGAAGGAUGAAGGCCCUCGGGUUGUAAACUUCUUUUAUGAGUGAAGAAUAUGACGGUAACUCAUGAAUAAGCACCGGCUAACUACGUG
rnacentral:rRNA from 1 species